AUUGAACGCUGGCGGCAUGCCUUACACAUGCAAGUCGAACGGUAACGCGGGGCAACCUGGCGACGAGUGGCGAACGGGUGAGUAAUGCAUCGGAACGUGCCCAGUUGUGGGGGAUAACUGCUCGAAAGAGCAGCUAAUACCGCAUACGACCUGAGGGUGAAAGCGGGGGAUCGCAAGACCUCGCGCAAUUGGAGCGGCCGAUGUCGGAUUAGCUAGUUGGUGGGGUAAAGGCCCACCAAGGCGACGAUCCGUAGCGGGUCUGAGAGGAUGAUCCGCCACACUGGGACUGAGACACGGCCCAGACUCCUACGGGAGGCAGCAGUGGGGAAUUUUGAACAAUGGGCGCAAGCCUGAUCCAGCCAUGCCGCGUGUCUGAAGAAGGCCUUCGGGUUGUAAAGGACUUUUGUCCGGGAGCAAAUGCUGGUGGCUAACAUCCACCGGAGCUGAGAGUACCGGAAGAAUAAGCACCGGCUAACUACGUGCCAGCCGCCGCAGUAACAC
rnacentral:rRNA from 1 species